GACGAACGCUGGCGGCGUGCCUAAUACAUGCAAGUAGAACGCACAGUUUAUACCGUAGCUUGCUACACAAUAAACUGUGAGUUGCGAACGGGUGAGUAACGCGUAGGUAACCUGCCUGGUAGCGGGGGAUAACUAUUGGAAACGAUAGCUAAUACCGCAUAAUAUUGAUUAUUGCAUGAUAAUUGAUUGAAAGAUGCUAUUGCAUCACUACCAGAUGGACCUGCGUUGUAUUAGCUAGUAGGUGAGGUAACGGCUCACCUAGGCGACGAUACAUAGCCGACCUGAGAGGGUGAUCGGCCACACUGGGACUGAGACACGGCCCAGACUCCUACGGGAGGCAGCAGUAGGGAAUCUUCGGCAAUGGACGAAAGUCUGACCGAGCAACGCCGCGUGAGUGAAGAAGGGUUUCGGAUCGUAAAGCUCUGUUGUAAGAGAAGAACGGGUGUGAGAGUGGAAAGUUCACACUGUGACGGUAUCUUACCAGAAAGGGACGGCUAACUACGUG
rnacentral:rRNA from 1 species